rnacentral:rRNA from 1 species
UACCAGCACCCCGAGUGGUCGGGACGAUUAUUGGGCCUAAAGCAUCCGUAGCCGGUCCUACAAGUCUUCCGUUAAAUCCACCUGCUCAACAGAUGGGCUGCGGAAGAUACUAUAGGGCUAGGAGGCGGGAGAGGCAAGCGGUACUCAGUGGGUAGGGGUAAAAUCCGUUGAUCCAUUGAAGACCACCAGUGGCGAAGGCGGCUUGCCAGAAUGCGCUCGACGGUGAGGGAUGAAAGCUGGGGGAGCAAACCGG